CAGUCGCCGCGGGAAUACGUAGGUCCCGAGCGUUGUCCGGAUUUAUUGGGCGUAAAGGGAGCGCAGGCGGUUUAGUAAGUCUGAAGUUAAAGGCAUUGGCUCAACCAAUGUAUGCUUUGGAAACUGUUAGACUUGAGUGCAGAAGGGGAGAGUGGAAUUCCAUGUGUAGCGGUGAAAUGCGUAGAUAUAUGGAGGUACACCGGUGGCGAAAGCGGCUCUCUGGUCUGUCACUGACGCUGAGGCUCGAAAGCGUGGGUAGCGAACAGGAUUAGAUACCCCGGUAGUCCCUGUCUCUUAUACC
rnacentral:rRNA from 1 species